UUCAUGGAGAGUUUGAUCCUGGCUCAGGACGAACGCUGGCGGCGUGCCUAAUACAUGCAAGUCGAACGGACUUUCAAGGGAGCUUGCUCCCGCGAAGGUUAGUGGCGGACGGGUGAGUAACACGUAGGCAACCUGCCUGCAAGACUGGGAUAACAUUCGGAAACGAAUGCUAAGACCGGAUACGCAAUUCGGCCGCAUGGCUGGAUUGGGAAACACGGAGCAAUCUGUGGCUUGCAGAUGGGCCUGCGGCGCAUUAGCUAGUUGGUGGGGUAACGGCUCAUCUAGGCGACG
rnacentral:rRNA from 1 species